UACGGAGGAUCCAAGCGUUAUCCGGAUUUAUUGGGUUUAAAGGGUGCGUAGGCGGGGGUUUAAGUCAGUGGUGAAAGUUUGCAGCUUAACUGUAAAAUUGCCAUUGAAACUGAACUUCUUGAGUACAAAUGAGGUAGGCGGAAUGUGUUGUGUAGCGGUGAAAUGCUUAGAUAUAACACAGAACACCAAUUGCGAAGGCAGCUUACUGGCAUGUAACUGACGCUGAUGCACGAAAGCGUGGGGAUCAAACAGG
rnacentral:rRNA from 1 species